rnacentral:rRNA from 1 species
GUUAAAAAGCUCGUAGUUGGAUUUCGGAGUGGGCCAGUUGGUCCGCCGCAAGGUGUGUUACUGACUGGUUUGCUCUUCUUCGCAAAGACUGCGUGUGCUCUUUGUUGUGUGUGCGUAGGAUUUACGACGUUUACUUUGAAAAAAUUAGAGUGUUCAAAGCAGGCUAUUGCUUGAAUACAUGAGCAUGGAAUAAUGGAAUAGGACUUUGGUCCCAUUUUGUUGGUUUCUAGGACCGAAGUAAUGAUUAAGAGGGACAAUUGGGGGGCAUCCGUAUUUCGUUGUCAGAGGUGAAAUUCUUGGAUUUAC